CCUACGGGUUGCACCAGUGGGGAAUAUUGGACAAUGGGCGAAAGCCUGAUCCAGCAAUGCCGCGUGAGUGAAGAAGGUCUUCGGAUUGUAAAGCACUUUCGACGGGGACGAUGAUGACGGUACCCGUAGAAGAAGCCCCGACUAACUUCGUGCCAGCAGCCGCGGUAAUACGAAGGGGGCUAGCGUUGCUCGGAAUGACUGGGCGUAAAGGGCGCGUAGGCGGUUUAUGCAGUCAGAUGUGAAAUCCCCGGGCUUAACCUGGGAACUGCAUUUGAGACGCAUAGACUAGAGGUCGAGAGAGGGUUGUGGAAUUCCCAG
rnacentral:rRNA from 1 species